AUGGAGCUGCCCGCAGCCGGCCCCUGCGCACCCGCGGGACUUGCGCCUCCAGCCAUGGGGCCGGGGAGCCCCCCGAGGAGCGCUGCCCUCAUCCUGCUGGUGCUGCUGGUGCUGGGCGCACGGCCAGAGGCGCAGGAGACGGGUGUCCGCAGGCAGCAGAGACACGGGCAUAGCCUGAAUCCCAACAGUUCUUGGUGGGAUAUGGAGUACAAAGGACUGCUGCACAGUAAGAAAACCCUUCCUGGGGCUGUGGGCUCACACAAACUCUCCAGCCUGCUCAGAAGCAGCUCUGCCCUCGGUCACAAGGACAGCAGAAGUUUGCUGAGCCAGAACUUGGGCCAGAAAUCACAAGAAAAGCAGUUGUCCUGUGACAUGCUCCUUAAACUCUCCAGGUAUAUUUUAAUGGAUACCUUUGGACCCAGCUUGGCCUGGAAUCUCUUCCGAUUUUAUCACUGUGAUCGGGAAGUCAACUUGCCCAAAAUUCAUGUCAGUCCUCUCAAGCUGGCACAGCACAAGCUGAAGCCUUUCCUGCUGCACAGGAUGCUUCAGCUGCUCAGGAACAUGGGAGUGCUCUCCGAAAGUCAGCAGUCCAAGGUCUUCGCUCUGCUCAAGAAGCAAAUGCUGAAAGCAAGGAAAACACCCGUAAAGCCCCAAGUGGAGCAAAGUGGUAGGUACAUAAGGAGGAGAUGGGUUGGAUUCUGUCACGCCGAUGGGGCUGAGGUGGGAGCCAGGCUCGGUGCGCAGGCCCUGGUGCUUUGCUGAGCGAUGACGAGGGCUGAGGUGCUCAGCCUGAGGCAGGAGGUGUGUGCUGAGGUGGCUGGCAGCAGCCACAGUCUGCACAAGAGGAGCCUUUGGGGCGGCGUGUGGAGGGCAGUCGCCGCCGAUGAGCCAUAGAUUGGUUGUGAGCUGUGUUGGUCUGUGGGAAUCGAUACCGGCGCUAAAAGCCGAGCUGUGGUAGUGCUGUACCCGGCUUGGUGUGGUUGCCAGGCUGAUCUCUGCCUCAGAGAUCACCUCUAAUGCAUUAGGAGUGUGCUGCCACGGCUCCCCAGGGCACGGCUGUGCCAACGCCUCCCGCUGCCCCGCUCGGAGCUGGGGGCUGCCUGCGGAAACCUGUCAGGGGGCUGCGUUGCUUGGAAAAACAUAAAAUCUAGGAAGAAUUACAAAAUAAAUAAAGUGAGAGAUGGCA
rnacentral:lncRNA from 1 species